rnacentral:lncRNA from 1 species
AACCCGGCCGACAGAAGAUGGCGGAUGAGCAGCGUGCAGGGUUUUCUCCCUGUGGCUCACUCUCUCUUACUGUGCUGGGCGGUUGCUUCCUCUCCUGCUGCCCUUGGGAGUCAGACUCCAGGUUCUUCAGCCUGUGGCCCCUGGGGCUCUCGGGCCUUGGAGGACUGACUAGGAGCACACGGUGGGCCUCUCUGGUUUGGGGGCCUGGGACGUGGCGGAGCCCUGCAGCUUCUGUGCGGCCUGUUCUGGGCGUCGCGUUGAAACGCCAGCCAGUUCCCCAAGUAAGCUCCCUGCACACACGCCUGAUAGCCUGUUGGUUCCGUCCUUCUGCGGGAUUUUCACUACCACUCUCUAACUCACACACAGCAGAAAGAGCAUACGGGAGAGAUGAAGCAGUCCACUCCAAGAACAUUCUCAUCCUACGGAUUACGAGGAUGGACGUAGAACUACUCUAGGAAAUUCCUCAAACACUGCCAAGUACUUCAUGGCUGAAAGCCAAAUAUUCAGUCCCCCUGGGAUUACAGGAGUGUUGAAGAAAUGUUGUGACACAUCAGAACACCGCGAAAUACAUGGACACUUUCAAAUCAUGGAAGACUCAAGAAGAAACUUUAAUUAGAAGGAAACAGGAAUAUUCAACGGACUCCCAAGACAAGAAUAUAGAUGUAUAUCAGAAGCUGAGCAUUGAAGUUGCUACUAGAGUCUCCCCGAGCCCUUAUUGGAUUCUCACUUCAGGAGCUGCUUUCAUUAUUUUGCCUCUCAGUUUCAAAAUAGACAAAGAACUCAACACUCAACAAUAAGAAAAUGAACAACUUGGUUGAAAAAUGGGCCAAAGACCUUAACAGACACCUCACCAAAGAUGAUAGACAGGUAGGAAAUAAACAUAUAAAAAGAUGCUGCACGUCAGAUGUCAUCAGAAAAGUGCAAUUAAAACAACAAUGAGACACCACUAUGCAUCUCCUAGAAUGACCAAAACCCAGAACACUGACACCAAAUACUCUUGAGGAUGUGGAGCAAUUCUCAUUGCUGAUGGGAAUGCAAAAUGGUACAGUCUUUUGGAAGACAGCUUGGAGGUUUCUUAUAAAGCUAAACUUGGAUUUACCAUACCAUCUACCAGCAGUGCUCCUUGGUAUUUACCCAGUGGAGCUGAAAAUGUAUGUCCCCACAGAAAAACAGGCACGUGGACGCUUACAGAAGUUUUACACAUAAUUUCCAAGACUUGGAAGCAACCAAGAUGUCCUUCAGUCGGUGAAUGGAAGAAUAAACUGUGGAACAAUCAGACCAUGGAAUAUUAUUCAGUGCUGAAUAGAAAUGAGCUAAGAAAGCCAUAAAAAAACAUGGAGGAAAAGUAAGUGCAUAUUGUUAAGUUUAAGAGUCCAAAAGGCAACAUGCUCUAUGCUCCAACUUUAUGACAUUCUGAAAUCGGCGAAACUAUGGAAAAAGUAAAAAUAUUAGUGAUGCCAGGGGUUAAAGGAAGAGAGAAAGGGACAGGCAAGAGAACAGAGGAUUUUUAGGGCAGUGCAAAUACUCUGUAUAAUACAAUAAUGGUGGGUACACAACCUUAUACCUUUGUCCAAACCCACAGAAUGUUCAACACCAAGACUGAACCCUAAUGUAACCUGUGGACUUUGGAUGAUAAUGACGCAUCAAUGCAAGUCAUAAAUUUGGAAAAAUGUACCUCUCCUGGGAAGGAGUUGAUAAUGAGUGAGUCUAUGCAUGUGUAGGGGGAGGGGUUAUGUGAGAUAUUCAUGUACUUUCUGCCCAGUUUUGCUGUGAACCUAAAAUUACACUAAAAGUGGGCAAAGGACGUGAACAGACAAUUCUCAAAUGAAGACAUACAUGCAGCCAACAAAUAUAAAAUAAAGCCCAAUGUCACUGAUCAUUAGAAUAUUGCAUAUCAAAACCACAAUGAGAUACCACCAGAUGAUUAUUAAAAAGUCAAAAAAUAACAGAUACUGGCGAGGUUGUCAAGAAAAAGGAAUGCUUUUAUACUUUUGGUGGAAGUUCAACCACUGUGGAAGAUGGUGUAGUGAUUCCGCAAAGACUAGAGGCAGAAAUACCAUUUGACCCAACAAUCCCAUUACUGGGUAUAUACCCAAACAAGUAUAAAUUAUUCUGUUAUAAAGACACAUGCACAUGUAUGUUCAUUGCAGCACUAUUCACAAUAGCAAAGACAUAGAAUCAACCUAAAUGAUCCUCAGUGAUAGACUGGAUAAAGAAAAUGUGGUACAUAUAUACCAUGAAAUACUAUGCAGCCAUAAAAAGGAAUGAGAGUAUGUCCUUUGCAGUGACAUGACUGGAGCUGGAGGCCAUUAUUCUUAGCAAACUAACGCAGCAACAGAAAAACAAAUACUGCAUGUUCUUACUUAUAAGUGGGAGAUGACUGAUGAGGACACAUGGACCUAUUGGGGGGAACAACACACACUGGGGCCUGAGGGAGGAUGUGGGGGGGCGGUGAGAGGAUGGGGUGUGGGAUGCUGAGCUUAAUACUUCAGUGAUGGGAUGAUCUGUGCAGCAAACUACAAUUGCAUACAUUUACCUAUGUAACAAACAUGCACAUCCUACACAUAUACCCGUCAACUUAAAAGUUGGAAAUUUUAAAAAAUGAGAUAAAAAUUGCUCUACAAAAUGAAGUCUUUAAAAAAUGGGAAAAUUGUAAUCUCUUACUGAUAUCGCAGUUAUUAUGCAUCAUUUCUCAGAACCUUAUGAAGAUUAUUGCUGAAAUAGGAACCAACACAUUGUUUUUGUUAUUGAUCAGAAAGAAUUAAGAAAGCUUAGGCUGGGCACAGUGGCUCAAGCCUGUAAUCCCAGCACUUUGGGAGUCCAAGGCAGGUGGAUCACCUGAGCUCAGGAAUUCGAGACUAGCCUGGACAACAUGGCAAAACCCUGUCUCUACUAAAUAUACAAAAAUUAGUUGGGCAUAGUGGCGGACUCCUGUAAUCCCAACUUCUCAGGAGGCUGAGGCAGAAGAAUCACUUGAAUUAGGGAGGUGGUGCUCCAGCCUAGGUGACAGAGCAAGACUCCAUAUCCCCCAUGGCCUCCCCAACCCCCCCAGAAAAGAAAGUAAAAAAGAAAGCUCACCAUCUUCGUGGCACAAGCCAACAAGGUUGAAAAAGCCAAAGAUGCCAACAUUUACUGCUUUUUGAUUUUUUGAUUAUGGCCAUGCUUGCAGGAGUGAGGUGGUAUCACAUUGUGGUUUUGAUUUGCAUUUCCCUGAUCAUUAGUGAUGUUGAGCAUUUUUUUGUGUUUGUUGGCCAUUUGUAUCUCUUCUUUUGAGAAUUGUCUAUUCAUGUCCUUAGCCCACUUUUUGAUGGGGUUGUUUGUUUAUUUCUUACUGAUUUGUUUGAGUUCGUUGUAGAUUCUGGAUAUUAGACCUUUGACAGAUGUAUAGAUUGCAAAGAUUUUCUCCCACUCUGUGGGUUGUUGGUUUACUCUGCUGACGGUUCCUUUUGCCGUGCAAAAGUUCUUUAGUUUAAUUAGAUCCCAGAUAUUUAUCUUAGUUUUUAUUCCAUUUGUGAUGAACAGGGAACCCCUCUACAAUGCUUGUGGGAAUGUAAACUAGUACAGCAACUGUGGAAAACAAUGUGGAGAUUCCUUAAAAUGUAAAAGUAGAACUACCGUUUGAUCCAGGAAUCCCACUACUGGGUGUCUACCCAGAGGAAAAGAAGUCAUUAUUCGAAAAAGAUACUUGCACACACAUGUGUACAGCAGCACAAUUCACAACUGCAAAAUAGUGGAAGCAACCCAGAUAGAUGCCCACCAAUCAAUGAGUGGAUAAAGAAACUGUGAUAUAUAUACACACAAUGGAAUACUACACAGCCAUAAAAAUGAAUGAAUUAAUAACAUUUGUGGAGACCUGGAUGAGAUUGGAGACUAUUAUUCUAAGUGAUGUAACCCGGGAAUGGAAAACCAAGCAUCAUAUAUUCUCAAUGAUAUGUGGGAGCUAAGCUAUGAGGACGCAAAGGCAUAAGAACAAUACAAUGGACUCUGGGGACUUGGGGGGAAGAGUGGAAGGGAAGCGAGGGAUACAAAACUACAAAUAUGGUGCAGUGUAUGCUGCUUGGGUGAUGGAUGCACCAAAAUCUCACAAAUCACCACUAAAGAACUUAGACAUGUAACCAAAUACCACCUGUACACCAAUAACAUAUGAAAAAAUAAAAUUUAAAAAAAGCCAAAGACAAGUGAACGAAAGGAGUAAUUGAUGGCCAUGAUUUCCAAGUAGAUUUGCUGGGUCAAGAUCAAGGUCAGGGAAAAAUUUACACACUGUGAAUUUUUUUUAUCUGCACUGAAGUUGAAUAGAAAAUUUGAAUUCAUACUUAUGGGGUCACAGUAUGUCUAAUUUUAAAAUAGAU